rnacentral:rRNA from 1 species
UACGGAGGGGGCUAGCGUUGUUCGGAAUUACUGGGCGUAAAGCGUGUGUAGGCGGCUCUGCAAGUCGGAUGUGAAAGCCCCGGGCUCAACCCGGGAAGUGCACUCGAUACUGCGGAGCUUGAGUGUGGGAGAGGUUGGUGGAAUUCUCGGUGUAGAGGUGAAAUUCGUAGAUAUCGAGAGGAACACCGGCGGCGAAGGCGGCCAACUGGACCACUACUGACGCUGAGACACGAAAGCGUGGGGAGCAAACAGG